GAUGAACGCUAGCGGCAGGCCUAAUACAUGCAAGUCGAACGAGAUUAAGGGGCUUGCUCCUUAUGAAAGUGGCGCACGGGUGCGUAACGCGUAUGCAACCUACCUCAAUCAGGGGGAUAGCCCGAAGAAAUUCGGAUUAACACCGCAUAAAAACACAGUACAGCAUUGUACAAUGUUCAAAUAUUUAUAGGAUUGAGAUG
rnacentral:rRNA from 1 species